ACUGGUGGCUGCAUCUGCACAACUGAGACAUUCUGGAUCUUGUUGAGACUCAGCCAGAGGAAGACGCCUGGGAGCCGGCCCUUCUGCCCGAGCCCUCCUCUUCUUGCUGACUUGACUCUGUUCUCAUGUUUCAAGAUUUCCAUAGGCUGACCUGUCUCCUGGGGUCCUGCAGCUUCUGGGCAGAGAAGGAGGCAGUGGGCCAUCCAGCCUUCCUCUCCCAUUUGUUUGGAGGAGGGCCUGCCUUUGUGAAUUCUCUCCCAUCCACAUGACAAUGCUUCCAGCCUUCGCCCCCAGGAUCAUUGUGAGAACUAAAAGGAAGUGAAUUCAUCCCAAGCAAUUGGGAAGGUGCCUGGUGCAAAGUGGGAAGUCAUCAACCACAAUCGCUAAUAAGUAGGUGAGGUCACACCUCCUUCCAGCCUGACGGAAACAAGGAGCUGAAGGGAAAUCUCUGAGACCCCGCUGCUGCUAUCAUGAGCUCAGAAAACCUCGGAGACUGCUUAUGUAGGCAGCUGCCUCUUUUCUGGCCAGUUCCUACAUGUGACCCAGAAUUGAGGGUGGUUCCUCCAGGCAGAGUUAACCUACAGAGGAAUCAAGAACCAAGAAGAGGAGAGAUAAGCAUCCUGGAGCCCCCUAGAGGGGCCAUGUGGAGUUCCCCCAACAGGGGUGUGUCCACAGAGCCUCUUCCCCAGCCCUCUCCUUGGGAAGCCACUUGCUAGGUACUCACUUCCUCCCCCACUGCCCUCUAGCAAGUGACUCAGAAGUGAGGCCAGGACAGCCCAUGGGG